rnacentral:rRNA from 1 species
GACGAACGCUGGUGGCGUGCUUAACACAUGCAAGUCGAACGGGAUUUAGUAAACAGAAGCCUCGGUGGAAGAUUACUAAUGAGAGUGGCGAACGGGUGAGUAACGCGUGAGCAACCUGCCUAUGACAGUGGGAUAGCCUCGGGAAACCGGGAUUAAUACCGCAUAAAAUCGUAGAAACACAUGUUUUAACGGUCAAAGAUUUAUCGGUCAUAGAUGGGCUCGCGUCUGAUUAGCUAGUUGGUGAGAUAACAGCCCACCAAGGCGACGAUCAGUAGCCGGUCUGAGAGGAUGAACGGCCACAUUGGAACUGAGACACGGUCCAAACUCCUACGGGAGGUAGCAGUGGGGAAUAUUGCACAAUGGGGGAAACCCUGAUGCAGCGACGCCGCGUGAACGAAGAAGGUAUUCGUAUCGUAAAGUUCUGUCCUAUGGGAAGAUAAUGACAGUACCAUAGAAGAAAGCUCCGGCUAAAUACGUG